ensembl:lncRNA
CUAUUUUCGUACCAAUGAGCCACUGCACGCCCCUUUCCCAUCAACUUCUCAUGCAGUUACGCCAGGCCUGCGCAGAUAGUCUUUCGGGCCAAGGAUUGAGGGUCUUAAGGCGGUGUGAUUGGCAGACGGGUUUGAAGUCGUUCAUUAAGUCCACAUCAACGUGAUCGGGACAGUUGAGCUUCGCUCCAUCCUGCGGGAUUCGGCAGACUUCCGUGGAGGGAAUGCGCGAUGGCGACUUAACUUUUUUUUUUGCACCUUUCUCCGGUUUGCAGGUAUUCAGGAAACCUGCCCCCUGCUGCUGCGUCCCAACUACAGACUAACUCGUCAGCUCGCAAAGUAUUCGUGCCGAAUGUGAGGACCAGUAAGGGUGGUGAAUGCGACAACGAUUGAUUGCCAUCAACAAUCUCUUCUUCAUCAUUAACAAUGUAAAUGUGCUUGGAGGAGGCGUUUGACCUCCACCUUCCCCGGUAAUGCCAGAAGGGGGCGAUGUGUCCAACCCAGGAAGUCGGAUUGGAAGGUGGGUACGGAUUUUUCCACCCCGACUGCCUCCUUUGUCCCCUGACACGCUCCGGUGGAAGCAGCAGCAGCAGGAGGACCACAGCGUAGGAGGCGCAGUGGGAGGAAGACGAGGAAUGGGCUAACACCCAAGUUAAAGUGCACGGCUGGAAGAAAGAGGGAGACAACCGCGCGAUAAAGACAACUGAAAAGGCUUCUGGAGACAGUCGGAGAAAGCGUGACGCCAGCCGGGUGGAGCAGAGAUAAAGAAGGAGACGGAGAGUGAGGAGGCG